rfam:Oryza barthii chromosome 1, whole genome shotgun sequence.
AAAAAAACAAACCCUGGAUUUCCAUAUCAAACAUUUGACCGUCCGUCUUAUUUGAUAAAAUUAUAAAAAAAAAUUAAAAGAUAAGUUACACAUAAAGUAUUAAUCAUGUUUGAUGAUCUAACAACAAUGAGAAUACUAAUUAUAAAAAAAAUUCAUAUAAGACGGACGGUUAAAUGUUGGACACGGAAACAUAGAGUUUGUCUUUUU